CGACAUCUUGCUUCUCAUCAGGACUCACCUUCCAGUUCACGUUUCCUGGGCGAGGAGAGAGAUCACGUCCGUUUCUCCUGCUGUCCAAAUGAGUUGUUUGAACCAGAAUAACGCUGCUCCUGCCACACAAAUUGGGUUAAAAUUAACAUUAUCAUUGGACUGCACGAGACGUGCGACAGUGAGAGCAUCCGUUAUUGGAAUGACUGACCUCACGUGACACAAAGAAAUGGAUCACCUGUGUAGCACGGGCUGAGAUACGUUCACCUGGUGAGGGUGGGUUCUCCUCCCUGCCUGAAGUGUGGUCAGGUGGUCACUCAGGUGGGGAAUUGCUGCAACGGAAUCGUCAUCGGUUCUCUUCUACACACUUUUUUACAAAAAGAGCCUGCAGUUUUGCACCAUAUCUUAUAUCAUAUCAUAUCAGAUCAAUAUGAUCUGAAAAAAAAGAUCUGUUGGGGAAAAAAAAGUCUAAAUGCAGCAUGAAAUUGUGGUGGUUAGCAUGUUUCCUCACAGCAAGAAGGUGCGGGGUUUGACUCCACCGAGUGGCCGUUCUGUGUGGAGUCUACAUGUUCCUCCCGGGUACUCCGGCUUCCUCCAACAGUCCAACGACAUGUUCUGGGGGUAAUGGAUUUUUUUCAGUGAUAUCUGUUAGUUUAUGGCGACACAGAAGGUAUAGAUUUGCCUCCACAACCCAAAAUGUGUUAAAAUAUAUUCAUACCGGAGCCAAUUUCAGGUCAAAUGAGUACAUUUAAAGUAUUUAGGAGCGAACAUGACUUGCUGGUGAGGCAGGUUUGCACCUCUUACAUGCUUUCCUUCGGCACACUUGCUCCACCUUG
ensembl:lncRNA